AGGGUUCGAUUAUGGCUCAGGACGAACGCUGGCGGCGCGCCUAACACAUGCAAGUCGAACGGAAUUAAGAGGAGCUUGCUUUUCUUGAUUUAGUGGCGAACGGGUGAGUAACGCGUGAGUAACCUGCCCUGGAGUGGGGGACAACAGUUGGAAACGACUGCUAAUACCGCAUAAGCCCACGGUACCGCAUGGUACUGAGGGAAAAGGAUUUAUUCGCUUCAGGAUGGACUCGCGUCCAAUUAGCUAGUUGGUGAGGUAACGGCCCACCAAGGCGACGAUUGGUAGCCGGACUGAGAGGUUGAACGGCCACAUUGGGACUGAGACACGGCCCAG
rnacentral:rRNA from 1 species